GAUUUCUGACGAACCGGAGUGGCCCGUUUUCAUUUCGGAAAUGAGUGCCGCUUUGAGUUUGUCAUCCUUCCAGAGAGCUGCGUCUACCGUUUACUCGGCCGGACGUAUGCGAUCUGGAUCUAUUACUUUGAAAAAAUUAGAGUGUUUAAAGCAGGCUUAUGCUGUGAAUACAUUAGCAUGGAAUAAUAAUUUAGGACUUCGGUUCUAUUUUGUUGGUUUCUAGGACUGAAGUAAUGAUUGAUAGGGACAGUUGGGGGUGCUAGUAUUCCGCGGCCAGAGGUGAAAUUCUUGGAUUCGCGGAAGACUAACUACUGCGAAAGCAUU
rnacentral:rRNA from 1 species